UAGCAUUCACGAAUUCAACAUAUACGUACUGAACACUUCUUUACACUUUAGGCUCUGCUGAUACAGUGGUAAAUUAGAGCACACACAUCCUAGUUAGUGGUUCAAGUGGGGGAGGAGAUAAGAAAAAGAAACAUUAGUUUGUAAGUCCUGUUUUAGGUAAAUCAGAGUGUGUGAUAACCUGGGCCCAUCUGACCUGACUGAUGAAGAGUCAACAACCGAGAAAGGAACCUAAGUGCAGAGGCCCCAAGGCAGGAAUUACUGAGCAUGUCCCAAUGAAUGACCAAAAAGGGUUCAAGUGACUGGGCUUAAAGGAGUCAAAAGGGGGAAGGAAACAGGGUAGAAAGUACAGUGGCAGGGGUGUGUGUGUGUGAAAGAGCAAUCAGGACUUCAUAGACGGGAAGGAAUGAGCUUUCUAAAUUUAGUGGAAAGUUACUGGAGGAUUUCAGGCUGCUAUUAUUAAUCCAAGAGUACUUGGGCCCACAGGCUGAGAUCAAAAGUUGAUUCGCACAUACUGACAGUAAAAGAGGAGCUCCUAGUUUCCUUUCUGUCCUAUACUAUUAAAUGCCCUUGUCUGUGCCCUGAGAAAAGUGUGCUUUUGCCUGCUACUCCAUCUCAGCAUUCUUUUCCCGUUAUAAAAGAUGCUGUCACUGCGUUGAUCCCGACACAUAUUUCACAGUAACAACUAGAAGUCGUGCUGGACUUGUCCAUACCUGAGACCCCCACCUCUGCCACCAAGAGAUCAUCGCUGGAGGCCGAGUUUUCAGCCAGACGCUUGAACUCAUCCUGUUUCUCACCGUAGGGGUACUGGGUGUCGAACUUCACCAAG